CACCGAUCCACUUUACUCAGUAGUCUUUUAUUGUCUCUUGGCUUCUAAAUUUAGUAUGUAAAUGGUUACUGUUAUCAUCAAAAACUGAAAAAGAGAUUUAAAAAUAAAAUACUUAAACAAACAGGCAACUGUACAGUUGAAAACGUGCAAAUUAGCUUCACAACUAUAUUUCAUUGUUUCAAAAUAUAACAGUACUGUCCCUUUGCAUGACAUGUG
rnacentral:lncRNA from 1 species